CAGUAGCCACGGUAAUACAGAGGAUGCAAGCGUUAUCCGGAAUGAUUGGGCGUAAAGCGUCUGUAGGUGGCUUUUCUAGUCCGCCGUCAAAUCCCAGGGCUCAACCCUGGACAGGCGGUGGAAACUACCAAGCUAGAGUACGGUAGGGGCAGAGGGAAUUUCCGGUGUAGCGGUGAAAUGCGUUGAGAUCGAAAAGAACACCAACGACGAAAGCACUCUGCUGGGCCGACACUGACACUGAGAGACGAAAGCUAGGGGAGCAAAUGGGAUUAGAUACCCCAGUAGUCCCUGUCUCUUAUAA
rnacentral:rRNA from 1 species